UAGACCUUAAGUUAUAAAAACUGUGAACCUUCCAAGUUCUUCAAAAGGAUUUUUCCUUAGAUCUAA
rnacentral:tRNA from 1 species